AACGAACGCUGGCGGCAGGCUUAACACAUGCAAGUCGAACGGGUGUAGCAAUACAUCAGUGGCAGACGGGUGAGUAACACGUGGGAACCUUCCUCGUUGUACGGAACAACUCAGGGAAACUUGAGCUAAUACCGUAUACGUCCGAGAGGAGAAAGAUUUAUCGCAAUGAGACGGGCCCGCGUCGGAUUAGCUAGUUGGUAAGGUAACGGCUUACCAAGGCGACGAUCCGUAGCUGAUCUGAGAGGAUGAUCAGCCACACUGGGACUGAGGCACGGCCCAGACUCCUACGGGAGGCAGCAGUGGGGAAUAUUGGACAAUGGGCGAAAGCCUGAUCCGGCAAUGCCGCGUGAGUGAUGAAGGCCUUAGGGUUGUAAAGCUCUUUUACCCGGGAUGAUAAUGACAGUACCGGGAGAAUAAGCCCCGGCUAACUCCGUGCCAGCCGCCGCCGUAAGAC
rnacentral:rRNA from 1 species